rnacentral:lncRNA from 1 species
UCUGAGUUAAAACGCUUUUAGCACCUAAACACGUAAACUCGCCGAGUUGACACGCGAUUUGUGGAACAUUGAUCUCCGCAAUUUUGACAAAAAACUCCUAUAUUUAGGGACAGAGGUAGUAUAAUUUUCUGAUCAUUUUUCCUACAACACAACUCUACAUCGCACGAGAGUAACCUAGCUCACUAUAGAUUUUUUUUAUAAGUGAGAAGAAAGGAAAUACAUUAAGAGGAGACUCAGACAUCUAACAAGAUUGGCACCUCCAAAAACACUAUCAUAUACAACACCAAAACCAUCAAAGAUAGAAAAACAAACAGGGGGAAAAAAACAGAGAAAAAAGAAGUGGCCCUAAAGGAAAAUAUGCUCCUCAGUCGCCCUUGGAACGGGUGUUGUGUGUAGUGACUUUGGUGAGUUGUUUCUUCUGCUUCUUCAACAAAUGAGGAGUAAAAUGUUCGUUUGAAGCGUCAUUUUUCGUAGCCCUUAUUUGACGAAGCAAUUCCAAGACAUUCUGAAGCACCGGGUAGCGGUGCUGCCGUGCUGGGGAAGGGGGUUCUCAGUAUGGGAAGUAUCAGUAUGAGCUAGUUCCUCUUGUAUAAUAUUGUUUUGGAAUACAUUAUGCUCAAAAUUCGGCUGGGAUAUAACUGGUAUCAAAAGAGGUUCCUCUUCAACAGGAACUUGUUUAUUCUCUUGUUCCACAUGUGCAUGUUCAUAUAUGUCACCAUAACCUGAUCAUUCACUGUGGCUUGAAUCUGCGCCACUAAAUCAUGUGUGUUGUCAACAUGAGUUGCUACUGAUUCAAUUUGCUUUUAUGUGCCUACUUCAACCUCCUUCUCAUGAGGUAUAUAUUGUUGUGUUACUUUUUUUGUGUCAGCAAGCUGAUUAUUUGUUGGCUUCAUUCCUUAAUCAAAAUUUUUCAUUGGUUUCUUUGGAUGCAACCACUUGCGAUUCAACACUGUAUGAUCGAUGAGAUUGCAAUGGUGACAGAAUAUCAAUAGUUUCUCAUAUUGAACCUCCACAUCAAAUGUGUAAACAUCCCUUUCCAUCAUAAUCUCAUAAAAGAGACGUCUUGAUAUAUUCAUAUCCACCAAAAUGCGUGCAUAGUGCCUAAAAACAUGGUUCUUUAUUGAAGCGUGCAAUAUUAACGGAGAAAACAAAGAUUUAGCAAAAAUAAUCCCUGUAAAUUAUUGACACGUGUCAUUUUAUUCCUUGUUAAAAAAACAUCUAUUAUCUAUAGGAUUAAAAUAAUCAUGUUUUCAUGUAUAUAAAAAGUGA